GAUGAACGCUGGCGGCGUGCCUAAUACAUGCAAGUCGAGCGAACAGACGAGGAGCUUGCUCCUCUGACGUUAGCGGCGGACGGGUGAGUAACACGUGGAUAACCUACCUAUAAGACUGGGAUAACUUCGGGAAACCGGAGCUAAUACCGGAUAAUAUAUUGAACCGCAUGGUUCAAUAGUGAAAGACGGUUUUGCUGUCACUUAUAGAUGGAUCCGCGCCGCAUUAGCUAGUUGGUAAGGUAACGGCUUACCAAGGCAACGAUGCGUAGCCGACCUGAGAGGGUGAUCGGCCACACUGGAACUGAGACACGGUCCAGACUCCUACGGGAGGCAGCAGUAGGGAAUAUUCCGCAAUGGGCGAAAGCCUGACGGAGCCACGCCGCGUGAAUGAUGAAGGUCUUCGGAUCGUAAAAUUCUGUUAUCAGGGAAGAACAAAUGUGUAAGUAACUAUGCACGUCUUGACGGUACCUAAUCAAAAAGCCCCGGCUAACUCCGUG
rnacentral:rRNA from 1 species